rnacentral:rRNA from 1 species
GUAGGGAAUCUUCGGCAAUGGACGCAAGUCUGACCGAGCAACGCCGCGUGAGUGAAGAAGGUUUUCGGAUCGUAAAACUCUGUUGUUAGAGAAGAACAAGGAUGAGAGUAGAACGUUCAUCCCUUGACGGUAUCUAACCAGAAAGCCACGGCUAACUACGUGCCAGCAGCCGCGGUAAUACGUAGGUGGCAAGCGUUGUCCGGAUUUAUUGGGCGUAAAGCGAGCGCAGGCGGUUUCUUAAGUCUGAUGUGAAAGCCCCCGGCUCAACCGGGGAGGGUCAUUGGAAACUGGGAAACUUGAGUGCAGAAGAGGAGAGUGGAAUUCCAUGUGUAGCGGUGAAAUGCGUAGAUAUAUGGAGGAACACCAGUGGCGAAGGCGGCUCUCUGGUCUGUAACUGACGCUGAGGCUCGAAAGCGUGGGGAGCAAACAGGAUUAGAUACCCCGGUAGUCC